rnacentral:lncRNA from 1 species
AUGAAUGCAUGCUAUCAGGGCACGGGAAAGAAUGACUUCGAUUGCGAUUUCGAAACAGGGGCGAUUUCCACUGUGGAUCCAAGUAUGUCCCUUUUCUUUCUGUGCACUGAUAAUACACACCCACACACACCCCUUUUGUUUUUGAUAGAAACUCAUUUACAAGAAUUUGCUAUAUCUUCCAGGCUGCGAGUAUAUAUUGAAGACAUCGGUGCAUGCAGUGGAUUAUUUGCAAUGAAGAAGAGGAUUGGCUCAGAAAAUUAACUUCUGUUUGUUGACCAAGAAUGGGAUAUAGAACAAGAACUAGGAGGAAAUAUAUGCUUAGGCAUUAUGUCUACUGGUUUAGUAACUCUUAUUAUGCUAAUAGAAUACGUAUAGAUAGGACAACAGGUCUACAAAUAUUGUACUGCUAGCUAUUUGCUCAGAGAUUUGUAAAAGUGAAUGCUAUUACUUUGGUAUAAUCAUAUGAACAUGGAUUAGCACACCUU